rnacentral:rRNA from 1 species
UACGGAGGGUGCGAGCGUUAUCCGGAAUGAUUGGGCGUAAAGCGUCCGCAGGUGGCAGUUCAAGUCUGCUGUCAAAGACCGGGGCUUAACUUCGGAAAGGCAGUGGAAACUGAACAGCUAGAGUAUGGUAGGGGCAGAGGGAAUUCCUGGUGUAGCGGUGAAAUGCGUAGAGAUCAGGAAGAACAUCGGUGGCGAAGGCGCUCUGCUGGACCAUAACUGACACUCAGGGACGAAAGCGAGGGGAGCGAAUGGG